UGUGUUGUAGCUCAGUGGUAGAGCGCUUGUGUAACACAUGUGAAGCCAUGGGUUCUAUCCUCAGCACCACAU
rnacentral:tRNA from 1 species